CACGUAGGGCGCAAGCGUUGUCCGGAAUUACUGGGCGUAAAGCGCGUGUAGGCGGCCCGGUAAGUCCGCUGUGAAAGUCGGGGGCUCAACCCUCGAAAGCCGGUGGAUACUGUCGGGCUCGAGUACGGAAGAGGCGAGUGGAAUUCCUGGUGUAGCGGUGAAAUGCGCAGAUAUCAGGAGGAACACCGGUGGCGAAGGCGGUUCGCUGGGCCUGUACUGACGCUGAGGAGCGAAAGCGUGGGGAGCGAACAGG
rnacentral:rRNA from 1 species